UACAGAGGGGGCAAGCGUUGUUCGGAAUUACUGGGCGUAAAGGGCGCGUAGGCGGCCUUCUAAGUCGAACGUGAAAUCCCCGGGCUCAACCCGGGAACUGCGUCCGAUACUGGAAGGCUUGAAUCCGGGAGAGGGAUGCGGAAUUCCAGGUGUAGCGGUGAAAUGCGUAGAUAUCUGGAGGAACACCGGUGGCGAAGGCGGCAUCCUGGACCGGCAUUGACGCUGAGCGCGAA
rnacentral:rRNA from 1 species